rnacentral:rRNA from 1 species
GAUGAACGCUGGCGGCGUGCUUAACACAUGCAAGUCGAACGAGAAAUGGAGACGGACACCUUCGGGCGGAAGGCUUCAUUUCGAGUGGCGGACGGGUGAGUAACGCGUGGGUAACCUGCCUCAUACAGGGGGAUAACAGUUUGAAACGACUGUUAAUACCGCAUAAGACCACAGCACCGCAUGGUGCGGGGGUAAAAACUCCGGUGGUAUGAGAUGGACCCGCGUUCGAUUAGCCAGUUGGCGGGGUAACGGCCCACCAAAGCGACGAUCGAUAGCCGAUCUGAGAGGAUGACCGGCCACAUUGGGACUGAGACACGGCCCAAACUCCUACGGGAGGCAGCAGUGGGGAAUAUUGCACAAUGGGGGAAACCCUGAUGCAGCGACGCCGCGUGAGUGAAGAAGUACUUCGGUAUGUAAAGCUCUAUCAGCAGGGAAGAAAAUGACGGUACCUGAGUAAGAAGCCCCGGCUAACUACGUG